GACGAACGCUGGCGGCGUGCUUAACACAUGCAAGUCGAACGGAAAGGCCCUGCUUUUGUGGGGUGCUCGAGUGGCGAACGGGUGAGUAACACGUGAGUAACCUGCCCUUGACUUUGGGAUAACUUCAGGAAACUGGGGCUAAUACCGGUAGGAGCUCCUGCUGCAUGGGGGGGGUUGGAAAGUUUCGGCGGUUGGGGAUGGACUCGCGGCUUAUCAGCUUGUUGGUGGGGUAGUGGCUUACCAAGGCUUUGACGGGUAGCCGGCCUGAGAGGGUGACCGGCCACAUUGGGACUGAGAUACGGCCCAGACUCCUACGGGAGGCAGCAGUGGGGAAUAUUGCACAAUGGGCGGAAGCCUGAUGCAGCAACGCCGCGUGCGGGAUGACGGCCUUCGGGUUGUAAACCGCUUUCGCCUGUGACGAAGCGUGAGUGACGGUAAUGGGUAAAGAAGCACCGGCUAACUACGUG
rnacentral:rRNA from 1 species